CGAGGAACUGAUGCCUGCCAACAACAACAGGAGUGAGACAGGUUUCGCCACCUUGACCAGGCUGUGAACUCCUAACUUCAAGUGAUCUGCCUGCCUUGGCCUCCCAAAGUGCUGAGAUUACAGGAAGUAUGAUGAGUGCUAUGUGUAUUUUGUGAUAAGAGCUACUUGUGAAGCUUUGAGUGAAAGCCAGAGCCUCAGACACCGAUCCACUGAGAAAGCUUGAAACUUCUAAUAUAACAUAUCAGGCAUGUAAUAUGGUUAUUUACCUGCCUUUUCCAGAGUAUUGAAUCUGGAACACGUAUGUAGGGAUUUCCUUACUAGUUUUAGUUUUAAUAAGCUCUUUUUUUUUCUUUUUUAGAGGUAGGGUCUUACUUUGUCACCCAGGCUAGAGUGCAGCAGUAGCUCUCUGCAGCCUUAGAUUCCCGGACUUAAGUGAUCCUCCCACCUUAGCCUCCCAAGUGGCUAGGACUGCGGGCAUGUG
rnacentral:lncRNA from 1 species